UUAGGGUGUCGCGCUAUGCGCGGUGAAAAGGGAAUUCGGUGAAAAUCCGAAGCAGCUUCGACCUACUGUAAAGGUGACGAACGCACGAAAAUGCCAUUGGCGAUUGCCGAGAAGGCGUGCAAGUAGAAUGAUCCUGAGUCAGGAGACCUGCCUUAGAUAAU
rnacentral:ncRNA from 1 species